CAGCCGCCACGGUAAUACGUAGGUGGCAAGCGUUGUCCGGAAUUAUUGGGCGUAAAGGGCUCGCAGGCGGUUUCUUAAGUCUGAUGUGAAAGCCCCCGGCUCAACCGGGGAGGGUCAUUGGAAACUGGGGAACUUGAGUGCAGAAGAGGAGAGUGGAAUUCCACGUGUAGCGGUGAAAUGCGUAGAGAUGUGGAGGAACACCAGUGGCGUAGGCGACUCUCCGGUCUGUAACUGACGCUGAGGAGCGAAAGCGUGGGGAGCGAACAGGAUUAGAUACCCGCGUAGUCCCUGUCUCUUAUAC
rnacentral:rRNA from 1 species